rnacentral:rRNA from 1 species
UACGUAGGGGGCAAGCGUUGUCCGGAUUUAUUGGGCGUAAAGAGCGUGUAGGCGGCCAUACAGGUCAGCUGUGAAAACUCGAGGCUCAACCUCGAGACGUCGGUUGAAACCGUAUGGCUAGAGUCCGGAAGAGGAGAGUGGAAUUCCCGGUGUAGCGGUGAAAUGCGCAGAUAUCGGGAAGAACACCCGUGGCGAAGGCGGCUCUCUGGGACGGUACUGACGCUGAGACGCGAAAGCGUGGGGGAGCGAACAGGG